CUGCUCAGGAAGACGUUUGGAAGAACCACUUGAAGCCAUCACCAUAUCCCAUUUUGCGCACAAUGCUGCACAUAAACACCUCCAAAGGACGCACAUUUGUGUCUGCCAGGUUUACCUUCCCUUUUCCUGUAGUGAAGUUAGUCAGGCCUAGGUGGUAUCGCAACUCAUCCUCUGAAGCAGCAUAAGGUAUGUCAAUCUUGUUCCC
rnacentral:misc_RNA from 1 species